rnacentral:rRNA from 1 species
CAGGCCUAACACAUGCAAGUCGAACGAAGGCUUCGGCCUUAGUGGCGCACGGGUGCGUAACGCGUGGGAAUCUGCCCUUGGGUUCGGAAUAACAGUUAGAAAUGACUGCUAAUACCGGAUGAUGACGUAAGUCCAAAGAUUUAUCGCCCAAGGAUGAGCCCGCGUAGGAUUAGCUAGUUGGUGGGGUAAAGGCCCACCAAGGCGACGAUCCUUAGCUGGUCUGAGAGGAUGAUCAGCCACACUGGGACUGAGACACGGCCCAGACUCCUACGGGAGGCAGCAGUGGGGAAUAUUGGACAAUGGGCGAAAGCCUGAUCCAGCCAUGCCGCGUGAGUGAUGAAGGCCCUAGGGUUGUAAAGCUCUUUCACCGGUGAAGAUAAUGACGGUAACCGGAGAAGAAGCCCCGGCUAACUCCGUGCCAGCAGCCGCGGUAAU